CUCACUCAUUGUACUUGUAUAAAGGGAGAUUGGGAGAUUGGUCCACGAGACAUGUCUUCUGUGUGAUACAUGACAGGGAAGAGUACAAGAAGUUCUCUGGAGCACAUUUUAACAACAGUUUUGUCAACGCAGCAUAUUUUUGAUAAUAAUGCAGAAGUUCGGCGGGAACAACAACGGAACAGACUUAAUUUUCGGUAAAAGGGCAGACUUAUUUUUCGGGGAAAUGAGGCAGGGGGGCCAUGGGCAAUUCUGUAAUUCUGUAGUGUCAGGAGAAAAGUCAGACGGGUCAGGUGGAUUGACGUAAGAAGGUAUAGACGCAUCUAGAGGUGCCAGGGUAUAUAUUGAGGAGAUUCCUUUGGAGGGGGCGCUCUUGCUCCUGCUUGCUUGCUUUUUUGUGGGGGAACUUUUUGGGUGGUAUGGGGAUGCGCUGUUUGGGUUUUUCUUUGAUACUUUCAACUUAGAAGUUUUUUCCUCCUUGAGCUCAAUGGAAGCAGUGGCUGAUCAGCACCAAUAAAGAGUUUUGCUCAUUCUCAUCCAGUCACAGUUAAUAAAUAGGAUACCUGCUUACCGCGCUUCUGCUUCCUCGCACACUGCUUUCGGCGUCCCCUCUUCUGGUCUCCGGUAUCAGGUGACGCCGAGGACUGGAGGCCUGGUCUCUCCACAGCAAGCCAAGGUCACAAAGCCUAUCCAGUACAUCAUCGUGCAGGGGAAGUCGCUUCACUUUCUGGUUUCCCGUGGAGGACGCUGACUCACUUCCUGUCUGCUGGGGGUGUUGCAGGCCUGUAUUUUGCUCCAGGGACUGUGGGUCUGGCCGCGGUGUGUCAGGGAUUGUGCUUGGCCCUUCUGCUCGGCUGUGGAAGUCACUCAGCCCUUCUUCUCGGCUGUGGACGUAGAUGGUGGCUACUUAGAUGGUGGCAUGGCAGUAACACUCAGCGGCCACGCCGGAUUCAUAAUGGUGCCAUUUACAUUUAAAAAUUAUGAAAUGGAUUCAAAAUUCAAAACGAAUUUAAGAAAAAUAGAAAGCAGACUGAAAAACCAAUUGGCGCAAACCAAGCAUGCCACUCAGGAAGAGGAUAAUAAUCAGAGUGCAGAUCCCAAGGCCCUGUCUCACUGUAUUGGCUCCUAGAAAAGCCUUUAAUGGGAGGAGGACAAAUGGACACUAAGGACAUUUCUCCGGGCCUCACACAAACUACAAACAAAAAGGUUCACUACACUGAGGAGACUAGUGGACACUGCAGGACCAGACAAGAGAGCAGUGGCAGAGGAACUUGGACUGCGGUCACAAGAAAACACAGAAGCCAUUUUUUCCAUUUUCACUCACUUUACACCUGUGAGCUAAUUACAGUUACAGUAUUAUGAGUUACCAUUGUUCAUGUUUGUAUUGUAUUUUCAUGCUGUACACACAAACUUUGAGGAGAAAUAAUGUUUUCUUCCAGGUUUUUCCCCAGUGUAUGAAUGAAGCCAACAAUUUCAAGUCAAGAAGCUUUUAUUGUCAUUACAACCAUAUGUAACUGUUACAGUGCACAGUGACAUGAGACAACGUUUCUCCAGGAUCAGGGUGUUCCAUAACACACAGACAUGUAAGUAGUCUUAGC